rnacentral:rRNA from 1 species
GACAGAGGGGGCAAGCGUUGCUCGGAAUCACUGGGCGUAAAGGGCGCGUAGGCGGGAUGGCAAGUCAGUCGUGAAAUCUCUCGGCUCAACCGAGAAACGUCGGCUGAUACUGCCGUUCUUGAGGGAGGCAGAGGAGACUGGAAUUCCCGGUGUAGCGGUGAAAUGUGUAGAGAUCGGGAGGAACACCGGUGGCGAAGGCGGGUCUCUGGGCAUUUCCUGACGCUGAGGCGCGAAAGCGUGGGGAGCAAACGGG